AUUGAACGCUGGCGGAAUGCUUUACACAUGCAAGUCGAACGGCAGCACGGACUUCGGUCUGGUGGCGAGUGGCGAACGGGUGAGUAAUGUAUCGGAACGUGCCCAGUCGUGGGGGAUAACGUAGUGAAAAUUACGCUAAUACCGCAUACGAUCUAUGGAUGAAAGCGGGGGAUCGCAAGACCUCGCGCGAUUGGAGCGGCCGAUAUCAGAUUAGGUAGUUGGUGGGGUAAAGGCCCACCAAGCCAACGAUCUGUAGCUGGUCUGAGAGGACGAACAGCCCCGCUGGAACUGAGACACGGUCCAGACUCCUACGGGAGGCAGCAGGGGGGAAUUUUGGACAAUGGUCGAAAGCCUGAUCCAGCCAUUCCGCGUGCAGGAUGAAGGCCCUCGGGUUGUAAACUGCUUUUGUACAGAACGAAAAGGUUUCUACUAAUACUAGGAGCUCAUGACGGUACUGUAAGAAUAAGCACCGGCUAACUACGUGCCAGCAGCCGCCGUAA
rnacentral:rRNA from 1 species